GAUGAAGAACGUAGCGAAAUGCGAUACGUAAUGUGAAUUGCAGAAUUCAGUGAAUCAUCGAGUCUUUGAACGCACAUUGCGCCCCCUGGUAUUCCGGGGGGCAUGCCUGUCCGAGCGUCAUUGCUGCCCUCAAGCACGGCUUGUGUGUUGGGCCUCCGUCCUCCUCCCGGGGGACGGGCCCGAAAGGUAGCGGCGGCACCGCGUCCGGUCCUCGAGCGUAUGGGGCUUCGUCACCCGCUCUUGUAGGCCCGGCCGGCGCUUGCCGACACAUCAAUCUUUUUUCCAGGUUGACCUCGGAUCAGGUAGGGAUACCCGCUGAACUUAAGCAUAUCAAUAAGCGGAGGA
rnacentral:misc_RNA from 1 species